UGCCCCAUGGCUGAGUUGGUUACAGCGUCCGACUGUUAUCGCUUUGUGCAUAAGAUGAACGCCAUCGGAAGGUCGUGAGUUCGAGCCUCACUGGGGCAG